rnacentral:lncRNA from 1 species
CUAAGAGUGUCAGAAGGUCAGACGGUGCCGUUCUGAGAGUUCUCAUUUCAGAGAGCGAGGGUGCCCUCAGCGAAUGCCCGACGGACAGGGAGACUUGGCUUGGCAACUGUGCGUGUCGUCUUCCGUUCGACAGUAGAUCUCAGAUGGGUUGAGACAGCCCCCAAGUGGACUGAGUGGGGCGAAGGACAAGCCACCAAAUCUGCAAACAGGACUGUGGAACUGUGAGAAAAUAGUGUAGAAUUAAGGUGCCAUUUGGCAUAUGAGGAAGUUUCUGAUGAAAAACUCCCAUGGAAAAGUGAUAUUUGAGGUUCAUCUUUGCCUGGACAAGGCCCAGUUCCCUCUGCUUUGCCGCAUUGCUUACUGACCCAGAUCUGCACCGCUCCCGAUGCCCUCCUGCCCUGCCUGCAGCCAGCACUGAGUCAACAAGCAAAAUCUCACAUGUAAUAUUCUGAGAUUCAACCCUCAGGUAAUAAUUCUCCUGCAUUUAGUCCUACAUAUCCUUUGGUUCACAGAGACAUUGAGUCUAGUGCCUUGAAAUGGCUGACCUAAAUAAUAUCCCUAGAUUUUUGAAGAUCAUAUAAAGUUUAUUUUAGUAACAACC